rnacentral:tRNA from 1 species
AGAGACUUAGGAUAAUCAUAAACCAGAGGCCUUCAAAGCCCCAAACAGGGGCCACAAUCCCCUAGUCUCUG